AAACGUACUCAGUUCGGAUUGUAGUCUGCAACUCGACUACAUGAAGCUGGAAUCGCUAGUAAUCGCAGAUCAGAAUGCUGCGGUGAAUACGUUCCCGGGUCUUGUACACACCGCCCGUCACACCAUGGGAGUCGGAAAUGCCCGAAGCCGGUGACCCAACCAAAAGGAGGGAGCCGUCGAAGGCAGGUCUGAUAACUGGGGUGAAGUCGUAACAAGGUACC
rnacentral:rRNA from 1 species